CAAGAAGUAGCUUAUCCAAAGCACUCGACUUACAAUCGAGAGACGUCACCAUUAAACCUUCUU
rnacentral:tRNA from 1 species